rnacentral:rRNA from 1 species
GAUGAACGCUGGCGGCGUGCCUAAUACAUGCAAGUCGAGCGAACAGACGAGGAGCUUGCUCCUCUGACGUUAGCGGCGGACGGGUGAGUAACACGUGGAUCACCUACCUAUAAGACUGGGAUAACUUCGGGAAACCGGAGCUAAUACCGGAUAACAUGUUGAACCGCAUGGUUCAACAGUGAAAGACGGUUUUGCUGUCACUUAUAGAUGGAUCCGCGUCGCAUUAGCUAGUUGGUAAGGUAACGGCUUACCAAGGCAACGAUGCGUAGCCGACCGGAGGGGGGGAUCGGCCACACUGGAAGUGAGCCACGGUCCAGACUCCUACGGGAGGCAGCAGUAUGGAAUGUGCCGCAAUGGGCGAAAGCCUUACGGAGCAACGCCGCGUGAGUGAAGAAGGUCUUCGGAUCGUAAAACUCUGUUACGAGGGAAGAACAAAUGUGUAAGGAAAUAAGCACGACGUGACGGUACCUAAUCAGAAAGCCACGGCUAACUACGUG